rnacentral:sRNA from 1 species
CUUGGAUUGGCGUUCUUCCCUCGCAUUCUUUUACUGGACUUGACCUUUCUCUGCUGGGUUUGGCAUUCCCUUGGGUGGUCUGGGUGUUUCCUUGCGGCGGGGGGGGGGCUUGGCCUUUCCUGGGGUGGGAGUGGGGGUCGCCCCGGGUGGGCGUGGGCUUUCCCCAGCUGGGUGUGGGUUUUUCCUGGUGGGGUGGGCUGGGCUCCCCUGCUGGGGUUGGCAGGUUUUGGCUGGGAUUGACCUUUCUCUUCAAACAGGUUGGAAACCCAGAGUUUCCUGCUAGUUGGUAAGACCGGUUGGUAGACGCGAUCUGCUCGCUACUACCGGCCUCCCCUGGCUGUUAAAAGCAGAUGGCGGCUGAGGUUUGUUCAAGGUCGGCUGCCUCCACUGUGAAGAAGCCAUUUGGUCUCAGAAGCAAAAUGGGCAAGUGUUGCCACCACUGCUUCCCCUGCUGCAGGGGGAGUGGCAAGAGCAACGUGGGCACUUCUAGAGACCACGACGGCUCUGCUGUGAAGACACUCAGGAGCAAGAUAGGCAAGUGGUGCCGCCGCUGCUUCCCCUGCUGCGGGGGGAGCGGCAAGAGCAACGUGGGCGCUUGGGGAGACUACGACGACAGCGCCUUCAUGGAGCCGAGGUACCACGUCCGUCGAGAAGAUCUGGACAAGCUCCACAGAGCUGCCUGGUGGGGUAAGUCCCCAGAAAGGAUCUCAUCGUCAUGCUCAGGACACUGACGUGAACAAGAGGGACAAGCAAAAGAGGACUGCUCUACAUCUGGCCUCUGCCAAUGGGAAUUCAGAAGUAGUAAAACUCCUGCUGGACAGACAAUGUCAACUUCAUGUCCUUGACAACAAACAGAGGACACCCCUGAUAAAGGCUGUACAAUGCCAAGAAGAUGAAUGUGCGUUAAUGUUGCUGGAACAUGGCACUGAUCCAAAUAUUCCAGAUGAGUAUGGAAAUACCGCUCUACACUAUGCUAUCUACAAUGAAGAUAAAUUAAUGGCCAAAGCACUGCUCUUAUACGGUGCUGAUAUUGAAUCAAAAAACAAG